rnacentral:misc_RNA from 1 species
GUUUUGGAAAAUUUAGGUUUUUCAAAAUGAAACCCUUAGCUGAAGAGUGGAACCAUGUGGAAAAAUAUAUCCAUUGCCUUCUUCAGAGAUCUCAUCCUACGUCAUUAGGGUCCCUCAUAUGUAAAAUGGCAUCAAGACCAACUGCAUCUAUCAUAAUUAUUGGAGAUGAAAUUCUGAAAGGUCAGACAAAGGAUACUAAUUCCCACUUUCUUUGUCGAGAACUGUAUAAGUGUGGUGUCAAAGUACCUUGUAUUUCUGUUAUUCCUGAUGAAAUUGAUGUUAUAGCUGAAGAAGUAUUAUUGCAUUCUAAGAAAUAUUCUUUUGUUUUAACAUCUGGGGGUAUUGGGCCCACUCAUGAUGAUGUUACAUACGAGGGUGUAGCUAAAGCAUUCAAAGAAAAACUUGUACUCAAUAAAGAUUUACAAAAAAUACUUAAAAAGCUAUGUCGUAGAAUUGGUUUAGAUAGCAGGGCUGCUUUUAAAAUGUCUCAUGUUCCUGAAUCUUCAGAAAUUCAUCAUACUAGUAAUGAAAUGAACCAAGCUUUUCUACCUAUUGUAUCUGUAAAAAAUGUCUUUAUUUUUCCAGGUAUACCAUCCUAUCUAGAAUAUGCAUUUAUUCAUUUAAAACCAAUAUUUUGUACUACAGCUACUAAUUUCUUUACUCAAAAUUUAUUUGUAACUUUAGAUGAAUUUUCUAUUACUGAUAUCUUAAAUGCUGCUGUUAAGGAAUAUGAGAAUAGAGUUAAGUUUGGAUCAUAUCCAGAAAUUGGCAAUGAAUACUAUCAGGUGAAAUUAACUUUAGAAGCUGAUUCCAAAGAAGCUGUUGCUGAAGCAGAAGCAUUCUUAAGAAGUCAUCUUCCACAUAAUACAGUUGUGGGACAGUAUUCCCCAAAUUCAGAUGAAGCAUUGCAGAAAUUUUUAAAUAUAUGUGAUAAGGAACCUGACAUAGAUUUUAUAAAAGCCAUUGAAGCAAGCAAUGCUGUUCUACAAGAAUGUGUAAAUUUAUAUAAAGUUGAGGGAAUCUGUUUGAGUUUUAAUGGUGGUAAAGAUUGCACUGCACUUUUACAUCUAACACACCUUUUUCUUGCUAAAACAUUUCCUACAAAAUCAGUAAGAUUAAGAGUUCUGUAUGUCCAAAGCAAACAAUCUUUUCCAGAAAUUGAAGAAUUCAUUCAACUUUGUGUCCAAAGGUAUAACUUGGAUUUGCUGACUUAUAAUCAACCAAUUAAAGAAGCUCUUCAUAAACUGCAAAUUGAGCAUCCUUAUAUUAAAGCUGUUCUUAUGGGCUCUCGCCGAACUGAUCCUCAUUGUUCUGAUCUCAAAUCUUUUCACAUGACAGAUGAUGACUGGCCACAGUUCAUGAGAGUUAGCCCCCUUAUCAAUUGGAGUUAUCCGCAGGUAUACAUCUUUGGGUUGCAAACACAAUACCCUUCCUAAUGACAACCUUAUGCAUUCAACAAAAGAUGGUAAAACUUAUUACCUGCCAGCAUAUCUCUUAAAAAAUCCUGAGGAAGAAAGAGAAGGUCGAUCUGGCUGCAGACCAUAAGAAUUUAGUAAUGGCUUUAAAAACUGGAGGAAGUUCAAUCCAUAUCCCUUAAGGAAGUUUGUGAUGCUUGUUGCUUUCUAGCAAAUAUUAUCGAAAAAGUUAUAGAUAAAAAUUCUCUGGCUUUAACAAUUUCAUCAACUGGUCAU